rnacentral:rRNA from 1 species
GAGCGGCGUACGGGUGCGGAACACGUGAGUACACUGCCUUAAUCUGGGGGAUAGCCUUUCGAAAGGAAGAUUAACACCCCAUAAUAUGUUGAAUGGCAUCAUUCGACAUUGAAAACUCCGGUGGAUAGAGAUGGGCACGCGCAAGAUAGAUAGUUGGUGAGGUAACGGUCACCAAGUCUACGAUCUUUAGGGGGGCCUGAGAGGGUGAUCCCCCACACUGGUACUGAGACACGGACCAGACUCCUACGGGAGGCAGCAGUGAGGAAUAUUGGACAAUGGGUGAGAGCCUGAUCCAGCCAUCCCGCGUGAAGGACGACUGCCCUAUGGGUUGUAAACUUCUUUUGUAUAGGGAUAAAACCUACCCUCGUGAGGGUAGCUGAAGGUACUAUACGAAUAAACACCGGGUAACUUCCGGGCCAGCAGCCGGGUAAUACGGAGGGGUGGCAGCGGUUAAUCGGAAAUUACUGGGCGUAAAGCGGCACGGCAGGCCGGUUGGGAAUCACGUUAGAAUGUGAAAAGGCCCCGGGGUUCAAACCUGGGGAANUUGGCUUUAAACAUUGGCCAAGGUAAACUCUUGGACAACGGGGGGGCGACAAUCCC